CAGCCGCCGCGGUAAUACGAAGGGGGCUAGCGUUGCUCGGAAUCACUGGGCGUAAAGGGUGCGUAGGCGGGUUUUUAAGUCAGGGGUGAAAUCCUGGAGCUCAACUCCAGAACUGCCCUUGAUACUGGGAAUCUUGAGUAUGGGAGAGGUGAGUGGAACUGCGAGUGUAGAGGUGAAAUUCGUAGAUAUUGGGAAGAACACCGGUGGCGAAGGCGGCAACCUGGUCCUUGACUGACGCUGAGGCGCGAAAGCGUGGGGAGCAAACAGGAUUAGAUACCCCGGUAGUCCCUGUCUCUUAUAC
rnacentral:rRNA from 1 species